GACGAACGCUGGCGGCGCGCCUAACACAUGCAAGUCGAACGAGCGAGAGAGAGCUUGCUUUCUCAAGCGAGUGGCGAACGGGUGAGUAACGCGUGAGGAACCUGCCUCAAAGAGGGGGACAACAGUUGGAAACGACUGCUAAUACCGCAUAAGCCCACGGGUCGGCAUCGACCAGAGGGAAAAGGAGCAAUCCGCUUUGAGAUGGCCUCGCGUCCGAUUAGCUAGUUGGUGAGGUAAUGGCCCACCAAGGCAACGAUCGGUAGCCGGACUGAGAGGUUGAACGGCCACAUUGGGACUGAGACACGGCCCAGACUCCUACGGGAGGCAGCAGUGGGGAAUAUUGCACAAUGGGGGAAACCCUGAUGCAGCGACGCCGCGUGGAGGAAGAAGGUCUUCGGAUUGUAAACUCCUGUUGUUGAGGAAGAUAAUGACGGUACUCAACAAGGAAGUGACGGCUAACUACGUGCCAGCAGCCGCGGUAAAACGUAGGUCACAAGCGUUGUCCGGAAUUACUGGGUGUAAAGGGAGCGCAGGCGGGAAGACAAGUUGGAAGUGAAAUCUAUGGGCUCAACCCAUAAACUGCUUUCAAAACUGUUUUUCUUGAGUAGUGCAGAGGUAGGCGGAAUUCCCGGUGUAGCGGUGGAAUGCGUAGAUAUCGGGAGGAACACCAGUGGCGAAGGCGGCCUACUGGGCACCAACUGACGCUGAGGCUCGAAAGUGUGGGUAGCAAACAGGAUUAGAUACCCUGGUAGUCCACACCGUAAACGAUGAUUACUAGGUGUUGGAGGAUUGACCCCUUCAGUGCCGCAGUUAACACAAUAAGUAAUCCACCUGGGGAGUACGACCGCAAGGUUGAAACUCAAAGGAAUUGACGGGGGCCCGCACAAGCAGUGGAGUAUGUGGUUUAAUUCGACGCAACGCGAAGAACCUUACCAAGUCUUGACAUCCCUUGACGAACAUAGAAAUAUGUUUUCUCUUCGGAGCAAGGAGACAGGUGGUGCAUGGUUGUCGUCAGCUCGUGUCGUGAGAUGUUGGGUUAAGUCCCGCAACGAGCGCAACCCUUACUGUCAGUUACUACGCAAGAGGACUCUGGCAGGACUGCCGUUGACAAAACGGAGGAAGGUGGGGAUGACGUCAAAUCAUCAUGCCCUUUAUGACUUGGGCUACACACGUACUACAAUGGCGUUAAACAAAGAGAAGCAAGACCGCGAGGUGGAGCAAAACUCAGAAACAGCGUCCCAGUUCGGACUGCAGGCUGCAACUCGCCUGCACGAAGUCGGAAUUGCUAGUAAUCGUGGAUCAGCAUGCCACGGUGAAUACGUUCCCGGGCCUU
rnacentral:rRNA from 1 species